rnacentral:rRNA from 1 species
AGAGUUUGAUCCUGGCUCAGGAUGAACGCUGGCGGUCUGCUUAACACAUGCAAGUCGAACGGAGUCCUUCGGGAUUUAGUGGCGGACGGGUGAGUAACGCGUGAGAAUCUGCCCUUAGGUUGGGGACAACAGUUGGAAACGACUGCUAAUACCCAAUGUGCCGAGAGGUGAAAGGUUAACUGCCUGGGGAUGAGCUCGCGUCUGAUUAGCUAGUUGGAGUGGUAACGGCACACCAAGGCGACGAUCAGUAGCUGGUCUGAGAGGAUGAUCAGCCACACUGGGACUGAGACACGGCCCAGACUCCUACGGGAGGCAGCAGUGGGGAAUUUUCCGCAAUGGGCGAAAGCCUGACGGAGCAAGACCGCGUGAGGGAGGAAGGCCUAUUGGUUGUAAACCUCUUUUGAUAGGGAAGAACACAAUGACGGUACCUAUCGAAUCAGCAUCGGCUAACUCCGUGCCAGCAGCCGCGGUAAUACGGAGGAUGCAAGCGUUAUCCGGAUUUAUUGGGCGUAAAGCGUCCGUAGGUGGCAAACCAAGUCAGUUGUUAAAGCGUAGAGCUUAACUCUAUAAGGGCAAUUGAAACUGGUUAGCUAGAGUGCGAUAGGGGCAAGGGGAAUUCCCAGUGUAGCGGUGAAAUGCGUAGAUAUUGGGAAGAACAUCGGUGGCGAAGGCGCCUUGCUGGGUCUGCACUGACACUGAGGGACGAAAGCUAGGGGAGCGAAAGGGAUUAGAUACCCCUGUAGU